AGCGAACGCUGGCGGCAGGCCUAACACAUGCAAGUCGAACGAACCUUUCGGGGUUAGUGGCGGACGGGUGAGUAACACGUGGGAACGUGCCUUUAGGUUCGGAAUAACUCAGGGAAACUUGUGCUAAUACCGAAUGUGCCCUUCGGGGGAAAGUUUUAUCGCCUUUAGAGCGGCCCGCGUCUGAUUAGCUAGUUGGUUGAGGUAAUGGCUCACCAAGGCGACGAUCAGUAGCUGGUCUGAGAGGAUGAUCAGCCACAUUGGGACUGAGACACGGCCCAAACUCCUACGGGAGGCAGCAGUGGGGAAUCUUGCGCAAUGGGCGAAAGCCUGACGCAGCCAUGCCGCGUGAAUGAUGAAGGUCUUAGGAUUGUAAAAUUCUUUCACCGGGGACGAUAAUGACGGUACCCGGAGAAGAAGCCCCGGCUAACUUCGUG
rnacentral:rRNA from 1 species